UUUGCAGGUGCAAAGGCCAAACAUAAAACCACUAUCUAUGGAUCUCUUUCUCUUCAGAACUCUUCCCUUUUUCUUAAGUGGCUUCAAUCUACAGACACUGUCGUCCAAUGCUGAGUUGAUAGUUCAUUAAUUUUGAGGGAAGCUUUUGGAAGAGCUUGAUUAUACAUUGAAUGUCUGUUGAAGAAAGUCCCCGUUGUCAACAAAGAGGGAGUUACGCAGAGAUAUGCCUCGAUUUCCAGAAAUCAACCAUCGACUUGCAUGUGUUAGGCAUGACGCCUAGCUAGCAUGAUUGGGCCCUGUAAUGAUAGAAAGUGAAACAGUGAGAAUGUUGGUUUACAUAUAAGAGAAUAUUGUCGUUGGCCGUUGGGGUUGCUUUGGAGCUUUGGAUUUGAAGCUGCUGGAUUGCUGGGCUACGGCCUACAGAUUUUUGUUGGUGAUUUUAAAGAAAUCCAGAGGAGAUCCCGUGUGUUCAGACCGGUGCUGAGUUUGUUGUCGGCUGAAAUCGAGCUUUCACCAAUAAAGAAAAAUCUGCUGCCCAUUUGAAGGUUCUAGUCCAUUGAUUUUUUCCCUUGAUUUUUAGUAAUAUAGUCCCUUCUAUCUGUUAUGUGGUGGUUAUUACAUGUCCCUUCUAUCUGUUCCUUUGAUGUUGCUGCAGUAUCAGCAACCAAAUUUAAGUGCUUUCUUAGCCAA